GAUCCCAAGCCUUCUGGCGAUCUCUUAUAAAGAAAGCCCUCCAUAAUAAAUUGAAAAGGGUCCUUUGGGGAAAAGUUUUCCCUUUGAUAAGAUGAAGCCGGGGAAGGUUUUCCGGUUUAUCCCGGAGGGCUUGUAGCUCAGUUGGUUAGAGCGCGCGCUUGAUAAGCGUGAGGUCGGAGGUUCAAGUCCUCCCAGGCCCACCAAUCAUUCUAUCAAUCUAUAAGCGCUUGUGGAAAUUGCUCAUAGAAAACUUUCUUUAUUCAUUUAUGAAAAAUCUCCUUAUAGAGAUAGAGAGAGACGCUUUUCCCUUUGGGUUUGAAAACUCAAGAUUACAGGUGUUAAAGUGGCUUUAAAGGAAAAGUGACAAAGAAUAAGGAAUAACGAUUUAAGUUAUCCCUUUUUGGUGAUCUUGAUUUGGGUGUUUUGAAUGCGUUAUGUUUUUUAGGGGGGCCGUAGCUCAGCUGGGAGAGCACCUGCUUUGCAAGCAGGG
rnacentral:misc_RNA from 1 species